rnacentral:rRNA from 1 species
GCAGUCGAGCGGAACGAGUUGUCUGAACCUUCGGGGAACGACAACGGCGUCGAGCGGCGGACGGGUGAGUAAUGCCUGGGAAAUUGCCCUGAUGUGGGGGAUAACCAUUGGAAACGAUGGCUAAUACCGCAUAAUAGCUUCGGCUCAAAGAGGGGGACCUUCGGGCCUCUCGCGUCAGGAUAUGCCCAGGUGGGAUUAGCUAGUUGGUGAGGUAAUGGCUCACCAAGGCGACGAUCCCUAGCUGGUCUGAGAGGAUGAUCAGCCACACUGGAACUGAGACACGGUCCAGACUCCUACGGGAGGCAGCAGUGGGGAAUAUUGCACAAUGGGCGCAAGCCUGAUGCAGCCAUGCCGCGUGUAUGAAGAAGGCCUUCGGGUUGUAAAGUACUUUCAGCAGUGAGGAAGGUGGUAGUGUUAAUAGCACUGUCAUUUGACGUUAGCUGCAGAAGAAGCACCGGCUAACUCCGUGCCAGCAGCCGCGGUAAUACGGAGGGUGCGAGCGUUAAUCGGAAUUACUGGGCGUAAAGCGCAUGCAGGUGGUUUGUUAAGUCAGAUGUGAAAGCCCGGGGCUCAACCUCGGAAUUGCAUUUGAAACUGGCAGACUAGAGUACUGUAGAGGGGGGUAGAAUUUCAGGUGUAGCGGUGAAAUGCGUAGAGAUCUGAAGGAAUACCGGUGGCGAAGGCGGCCCCCUGGACAGAUACUGACACUCAGAUGCGAAAGCGUGGGGAGCAAACAGGAUUAGAUACCCUGGUAGUCCACGCCGUAAACGAUGUCUACUUGGAGGUUGUGGCCUUGAGCCGUGGCUUUCGGAGCUAACGCGUUAAGUAGACCGCCUGGGGAGUACGGUCGCAAGAUUAAAACUCAAAUGAAUUGACGGGGGCCCGCACAAGCGGUGGAGCAUGUGGUUUAAUUCGAUGCAACGCGAAGAACCUUACCUACUCUUGACAUCCUCAGAACNUUCCGGAGAUGAAUUUGUGCCUUCGGGAACUCAGAGACAGGUGCUGCAUGGCUGUCGUCAGCUCGUGUUGUGAAAUGUUGGGUUAAGUCCCGCAACGAGCGCAACCCUUAUCCUUGUUUGCCAGCGAGUAAUGUCGGGAACUCCAGG